rnacentral:rRNA from 1 species
AUUGAACGCUGGCGGCAUGUCUUACACAUGCAAGUCGAACGGCAGCACGGGGGCAACCCUGGUGGCGAGUGGCGAACGGGUGGGUAAUGCAUCGGAACGUGCCCAGUAGUGGGGGAUAACCAGUCGAAAGACUGGCUAAUACCGCUUACGACCCAAGGGUGGAAGCGGGGGAUCGCAAGACCUCGCGCUAUUGGAGCGGCCGAUGUCUGAUUAGCUAGUUGGCGGGGUAAGAGCCCACCAAGGCGACGAUCAGUAGCUGGUCUGAGAGGACGACCAGCCACACUGGGACUGAGACACGGCCCAGACUCCUACGGGAGGCAGCAGUGGGGAAUUUUGGACAAUGGGCGCAAGCCUGAUCCAGCCAUGCCGCGUGCGGGAAGAAGGCCUUCGGGUUGUAAACCGCUUUUGGCAGGAACGAAACGGCGAUCUCUAAUACGGGUCGUUAAUGACGGUACCUGCAGAAUAAGCACCGGCUAACUACGUGCCAGCCGCCGCGGUAAAAC